CAUGGCUGCCUGAAUACCCCAAAGACACCAGAUCCCAUCUAAAGUUAGAAGUUAAGUAGGGCCAGCCCUGAUUAGUACUUGGAUGGUAUCAGGUUCCGUAAGCUACAGUGCAAAGUCAAAA
rnacentral:rRNA from 11 species